AACUUUCUGCAAAAUAUGCACAAUAAGCUGUAAGAAAUAUCCUCCCUGGAAAAACACUGAUUCAAUUCAUCAUCUGGGGAAAAGAAGAGAAAAAACGGUGGACUUAAGAUUGCAGCUGCUGAAUGUAGUUACAUUCUUGUAAGAAUACACAGGGAUCUGAUUGCAUGUGGAAUGCUUACGGGUGAAAAAUGGCCGCGGCGAAUGGAAGGAAACAGUCGCAGGACAAGAGCUUAACUCGGCAACAGAUCGGAGCGGCGUGCUAACAGAGCGAGCUGCUGGGAUUGUUUAGUUUCACAUUAUGUAAACUGCAGAGGAGCCAACAAUCACACGCCAACUGUUCCCCCGAGUGCUGCCAUGUCAGACAAACACUUCACUCUGGUGAGCUGCUCGUACUCCUGCUAGCAAACUUCAUACUGCAGCCAUAAAUUCAGAGCGGGCAUGCUGUAGGUCUGUGAAGUGCCAUCAGCCGGACAUUAGAGCGUCGGCCUCCAUGCAGAGUCCAUUCAGGUUUGUUUAUGUGCUUUUUGAUCGGCUACAGGAGGCCCAACAAGCACAAACACAAGUCUGCAAAUUGGUAAAACAAGCUUUCUGUGCAUCUCUGAGAUAUAUUUACAUUUGUAAAGGUACAUCAGUGAAGUUAAAUGUGACGUCCAAGACCUAAAUAUUGAAUUAUAUCUGCUCAUAUUGGAAAAAAGCGUACAUUUCAUUCUAUAUUUCUGCCUUUUCUACCUUAAAUCUAAUUAUUUUAUACCAUGCAGGUUAUACUGGAAGCACAAGAAUGAGUGUAUGCAAUAAUAAUUACUUAAAUAAUAAUAAAAUUAUGAAGCAUUUGAGUGACAAAUAACACUCAAAGGAGAAUUGCAGUGAAUAAAGAGGCAAUGCUUAGAUCAAAAUCACAUGACAUCCUCCACUUUGUGCAUUUUUUCAGAGAUUUAAGGCAUAAACUUUCUGUAAAAUAAGCUUUCUGUGCAGCUUUAAGGUAUAUUUAGACUUGUAGAAGUACAUCAGUAAAGUUGAACGUGACAAAUCUGUGAAUACUGGAGCAGACAAGGUGCUGUUUUUACCAGCUUAAAUGUCAUAUUAGGUUGUUGCUGAAAGGACAGUGCACUCAGGAAUGACUCAAUACAAUAAUAAUUACUUAAAUGAGGAUGAAAUAAUGAAAUAUUUGGGGAACAAAUAACUCUAAAUUUAAUUAAAGGACAAUCGCAGUGAGUAAAGAGGCACUGCUUCAAUGAAAAUCUCAUGUGAAUUUACAUGAUCUCUCCACUUGGUGGAAUUUUUCAGAGCUUUACGACAUAAACUUUCUGCUAAAUUAGCUUCCUGUACAUCUUUGAGAUUUCUUUAGACCUGUAGUACUCCAUCAGUAAAGUUAAACGUGACAUUCACGGCCUAAAUAUUCAAUUAAUUCUGAUCGUAUUGAAAAAAAUGUACGUUUAAUUGAACUGAAAACUUAUGAGUAUGGAUUUUCUAACUGAAAUUUAAUAUUAGCCUUUACCACACAGGUUAUACUGGAAGCACAGUGCACGAAUAACUGAAUCAAUACAAUAAUAAUUACUUUAAUAAUGAUGGAAUAAUCAAGUUUUGUGCAACAAAUAUCUCAUAAUUCAACUAAAGGAGAAUUGCAGCAAUUAAAAUUCUAUGAAUUAACAUGACCUCUCUGUGGAGCUUUUCAUGCAUUUCUGAUAUUUUUUCUAUAUCUGUCAGUACUUUUAAGCAAACACGAUCCAGGAAUGUCUCAUUUACAGUUAGAUAAGAAUGUACUAAUGAAUUUUUAAAGCACACACCUCAUAAAUAUACAAACGAAACAUGAGAAAAACAGUGCUGCGACCCGUACGGAGUCAGUUAAUGUAAUAUUCUGUUUGUAGAUGUGCGGCCAUGCUGGUUCAUUUCAUGCCCCCGUGUUGAUGUGUGCUGCAGGUUUUCAGGUGUAAUUCUGACAUGUGAUGAAGAAAAAACAUAAAAAUCAGUGAGUCAGAGGAGAAGAAGCUGUUCUUCAAAGCUAAUAUCUACAACUUGUGCUCCUCGUUAUUCUUUUGCAAUCCAGGAAAAAGCAAAAACUCCAAGGAAUGAGUCAAUACAAUAAUAAUUACUUCAAUAAUAAAGGAAUAAUUCAACAUUUGGGCAACAAAUACCACUUAAUUCAAUUAAUGGAGAAUUGCAGAGGGAAUGCUUUAAUGAAAAUCACGACAUCCUCCACUUUGUGCAUUUUUUUCGCAGAUUUAUGGCAUUUUCUUCUGCAAAAUAAGCUUUCUGUGCGUCUUUGAGGUAUAUUUAGACUUGUAGAAGUACAUCAGUAAAGUUAAAUGUAACAUCCACGGCCUAAAUAUUGAAGUAAAUCUGCUAAAUAAUUGGAGUAGGCACUGCAAUGGUGCUGUUUUUAUUAGCUUCUGGUUAUAUUUAAAGCACAGUACACCAAGGAAUGAGUCAGUACAAUAAUAAGUACUUAAAUAAUGAUGAAAUAAUUAAGUGUUUGAGCAACAAAUAACUCAAUUCAACUAAAAAAAGAGGUCUAGUGAGUAAAGAGGCAAUGCUUUUAUCAAAAUCGCCUGUGAAUGAACAUGACAUCCUUCAUCUUGUGCAUUUUGUGAACGAUUUAUGGCACAAACUUUCUGCUAAAUAAGCUUCCUGUGUGUCUCUGAGAUAUAUUUAGACUUGUAGAGCUACAUCAGUAAAGCUAAACGUGACAUCCACGGCCUAAAUAUUAAAUUAAAUCUGCUCAUACUGGAAAAAUAAUUGGAGUAGACAGUGCAAAUGUGCUGCUUUUGCUAGCUGAAAUGUAAUAUCAGGUUAUGCUUAAACCACAGUGCUCCAAAGAAUGAGUCAGUACAUACAUGUGCUCUUCAUUAUUCAUUUGCAUUCCAGGAAAAAGCAAAAAAACGUUCUGCUCCGCGGCUGCGAUAAACCGUGUUAAUGGAUUAGCUGUCGAGAUACCUGCCGCUCCUUAAGUUAUGGCUGAAAUAUUCUUUCACGUAUUCUGUCAAACACAGGAUUAUAUGACACAAUAACGCAGACUCUGGUUAAAGUUUCCUGUGAUGGAUCUGCUUUGAGGGCCGUGCUAGCGGACCCCAUACAUGGAUGUAAUUAAACAAGGCCAAGUGAUAGCGGUAAUGGAUCAUCCAGCCGAGCCCGGGUCCCGGCUUCCCACCAACCAGAGUUACCGGAGACAAACGACUCGCAGCCAGCGUCGCUUUCAACUUGGCGUGGUGCGGAAUAUGUGGGAACAGUGGUGGCCCGGCCAAGACGGAUGGACAGUCAUAAUCCCCCCACUGGUGGAGAAUGUGCUUUAUUAGAAUACGAUACAGUGGAGGUGAAAUAUUUUUCUGGCGGUGCGAUUUAGUUCCCAGCUCAUUGCUCAGCACACACAAGUCAUUCCUGACAGUUUCUUUUUCCUCCGAGCAGCUUAGCCGUCUCCGAGCCGCUGCCUUCAAAGUUUGGUGAGUUGUCUGUCAAGGAGAAAUGUGUUAUUAUUAUUCCUGCAGAAACUACAAGUAGGACACAACAAUGAACCCUCAGAUGCUCCAGUGAUUGGACCCUACACUGGGUCAAAAAUAUAAGAAUCAAUGUGUUUUUGUUCCAUUAUUGUCAUUUUGGUUAAGAAUAGUCAUUUGUAUUAUUGUUUGUAUUCUAUUUUUGUUCACACAAGAAUUAUUUCAUGUUUGAAAUGUCUUUAUUUUUCACUUUAGAACAGAUUUUCCACAUUUUGAUAUUUGAAUAAGAAUAAUAUUAGAGAGAACAGCAGUAGAAGAAUGUCAACGACCACUUUGUUGACAUUUUUGCACUCUUUUCCUCUGGCUGUUGCUGUUGAAUAGCUGGAAAAUUAAUUGAUAAAAACUUUUCAUUGCAAAAAUAUUGCCAGAAAACGACCUCACCGGGUCAUUUUUGACAAGGUGAGAUCAUCAUCAUUGUUGCCUUCUUAAUGGGGUUGGGACCAUCAGUUGUGUUGUGCAGAAAUCAGGUUGGUCCACAGUUGACAGCUUUAUUGCACAACUAUUAGAAUCCAUAUUAUGGCAAGAACCAAUCAGCUAAGUAAAGAGAAACGACAAUCUAUCAUUACUUUAGGAACAUACAAGGACUUUGAACCUCCUCAGGACAGUAAGACCAAGAACCUCCUCUGCUGCUGAGGAGAAGUUCAUCUGAGUCUCCAGCCUCAGAAAUGACAAGCUAACAGCAGCUCAGAUUAGAGCCCAGAUAAAUACCACACAGAGUUCUAGCAGCAGACACAUCUCUACAUCACCUGUUCAGAGCAGACGGACCAAUCAGGCCUUUAUGGUCAAACAGCUGCUAAGAAUCCACUACUAAGGAAAAGCAACAAGCAGAAGAGAUCAGUUUGGACCCAGAAGCACCAGGAAUGGACAUUAGACCAGUGGAGAUCUGUGCUUUGGUCUGAUGAGUCCAAAUUUGAGAUCUUUGGUUCCACCUGCUGUGUCUUAAAGAGGCACCAAGGAAGAUUUUAGCGGAAAUGUAGCGUUGCCUACAUUUCCCGUCAGCCUCGGCGCGCACUGUCGCAAACCAGGAAAGCCGGCGGAGUUGAAAUCAUUGUUACCGAGCUAACGUUCGGUAGCUCCGAGCUAAUGUUACAUUAGCCAAUACCCACACAGUGUUUUUGCCACAAAGUUAGUCAACUAAACCAGUCACAGUCAAACUAAUCCCAUAGUCUACUAACCACACAUCGCAAGCAACACACACAAAAGAAUUGUAUCAAACUUACAAAGAGCUAAAGUUACGUACCUGUCUAGGAGAAGCACAGCCAGCUCGGCAUCUGUUUUGAUUCCUUUUUGCUCCCGGAAUUCUCUCCACCUCUGAAAUGCCUGACCAAGAUGAACUUUUCUUUUGCUUCGUUGUCGAUCUGACAACCUUUUUGCUUGCAGACUUUGCUCCGUUCUCUUCCUUUUGCGCUCCAUGUGUGCCGUCUUCUCAACCAACUCUCCGCUCUGCUACUGCUAAAAACAACUAGCUCCGCUCUGCUACGCUCAUCAGCGCACACGCACCGUAUUUGCUGUAAAUCGCUCCGUCUCUCACAGGAAAUUCUAGACGAGUCGACAAAAAAUUAAUAAAAUACAAAUAUUUACAAAACCAAAAUGAUUCAUGAAUCGAAAAUGGGGGCAUUAAUAAGUGUAAAUAACGAAGAUUCAUCCACAUUAAUAUGAGACUUUGUUAUGAGCAUAAAAAUCUUCCUCGGUGCCCCUUUAACCCUUUGAUGCACAAUAUGAGUCAACAGUGACCCAUAUUCAAUGGAAAAUGGGUUUCUCUUCACCCAUGUUGUGCAUCAAAAGGUUAAUGUGACCAGAAAUGGUGGACGGAUGAUCUUUACAUUUAUGGUUCCCACCAUGAAGCAUGGAGGAGGAGGUGUGAUAAACGAUACACAAAACAACAAAUAAAGUGAAACACAAAAUGACAAAAAUAAGACAAAAAACACAAACAAGACAAAAAGGAAACACAAAACAACAGCAAUAUGACAAAAGUCAGAAAAAAACAAGAAAUUACAACAAAAACAAGGAAACAUUACAAAAAUGAGACACAAAAUGACAAAAGUGAGAAACAAAAUGACAACAAAUUAGGCAAACGACACGAAACAAAACAAAAGAGACAAAAAGUUAGAUUAAAAAGUUAGAAAGCGACAGAAAAUUACACAAAUGACACAAACAGGACAAAAAUGAGAAAAUCAAGAAAAAAAUGACAAAAAACCUACAAACAACAAAAGCAAGACAGAAACAGCACAAAAUGACACAAACAGUAAACAACAUACAACGAGAAAAAACACAAAUGAAACCAAAAGGAAACACAAAAUGACAAAAAUGAGAAACAAAACGACAUAAACACGAGACUUACAACAAAAAUCUGACAAAAAAAUGACAAAAACAAAACAAAAUGUUACAAAAAUGAGAAACAAAAAGACAAAAAAUUAGGCAAACGACACGAAACAAAACAAAAAAGGGACAAAAAAAUGUGAUUAAAAAGUUACAAAGUGACAGAAAAUUACACAAAAGACACAAACAGGACCAAAAUGACAAAAACAAAAAACAAAAUGACAAAAAUAAAUAAAUAAUGAAAGGGAGACAAAAACAGCACAAAAUGACACAAACAGUAAAUAAAACACACAAUGAGAAAAAACAAAUGAGACCAAAAGGAAACACAAAAUGACAAAAAUGAGAAAUAAAAUGACAAAAGCACGAGACAAACAACAAAAAUCAGACAACAAAAUGACAACAAAACAACAAAAACAAGACAAAAUGUUACAAAAAUGAGACACAAAACAACAAAGGAACCAAAAACAAUCUAGUAUUUUACUUUAUGAUCUAAACAACUUGUCAUGGUCUGGAAAUUAUUUUAAAUUUAUAGUUUUACUAAUCUACAAUCUGCAGUUAAUGUCUUCUCUGUAAUUUUUACACUUUGAGGACCGGAUUGGACCCUCUGGAGGACCACUUCUGGACCACGGGCCUCAUGUUGGACACCCCUGGUUUAGUUGGACUAUCAUUUAUUUUCCAACAGAACAAUGGCCCCAAACACACCUCCAGGCCGUGGAAGGACGAUCUGACCAGGAAGGAGGUGAUGGAGUGCUGCGUCAGAUGACAAAAAAAACAACAGAAAUCUGCGUUCUAAACUUAGAGAAUCAUUCUGCUAUUUAUCGGCUGUUUAUCUAUUCAGUUACAGGAUGCAAGAAGUGCUGACGCCUUUGGAUUUAGCCGUUAUUGCAUAUCAUUACAUGAAUAAAAUAUGUGUACCAUUACAUGCAAAAGUUUGUUCAACCAUUCUCCAAUUUGGGUUUGUUGGAUCAGAGCGGGGAGGAGGUGAGUGGCAGCUUUUUGUCAACAUCUUGAGCAGUAAUAAGGUUCUGACCUGCGUUAAUUAUUAACAGAGAAAUUACUAAAAGUACUUUAGUAAUUUUUCAAUAGAGGAAGCUGCUGCCGGAUUCAAACUUUUGAACUUUUUUCUUUGUAGCUGUGGUGAAAGAAGUGCGAGAACAAUGACUUCCUCCUCUGCUGCUUCGGCCUCCAACCACCGAUUGUCAUUCGUCCACGUUCUCCCGGCUCUCGGGGCUCUGGAACAGCUUUUAUCUCGGUCCUGCGCAGCGUCAGGGGAAUGCAGAUGAGCCCACCUCAGCAGACCUCUGUGGACGCUUUGUUUGAUCGACCUGCCGAUGGUUCCUUGCGCUUUCAGACUUUUUAUCUUUGUUUUUAUAAAUGACCCUCAGAGCUGCAGAUCACAGGUGGUUAAAUCGAUGUUUGAGGCCUCGUUUCCAUCAUUUUCCAACGUCUUCCAUCAUUCAUCCCCGUUGCCUUUUCAGAUAUGCUGAAAGUGAAAUAUUACUCUUCUGAGUCAAUACAAUAAAAAACACUUAAAUAAUGAUGAAACAAUCAAGUAUUUGGGAAACAGAUAACUCUAGAUUCAACUUUAAGAGAACUGCAGUGAGUAAAGAAGCAAUGCUUAAAUCCAAAUGACAUGAAAUUAACACGUCAUUGCAUUUUUUCACACAUUUGUGGUCCAAACUUUCUGCAAAAUAAGAUUUCUGUGGAUCUUUGAGAUACAUUUAGACUUGUAGAAGUACAUCAGUAAAGCUAAAUAUUCAAAUAAAUCAGCUAAAAAUUACAUAUUUAUUACAGUAGGCAGUGCAAAGGUGCUGCUUUUACGAGCUUCAGUGUAAUAUCAUACAUAUACAAUAAUAAUUACUUAAAUAGUGAUGAAAUAAAAGUACUUGGAGAACAAAUGACACUAAAUUUAACUGAAAAGGAAAUGGAGUGAGUGAAGAGGCAACGCUUUAAUCAAAGUAACAUGUAAAUUAACGUGAUGUCCUCCACUUUGUGCAGUUUUUCCGACAUUAAUGGCAUUUUUUCCUGCUAAACAAGCUUUCUGUGCAUCUUUGAGAUAUUUUCAGACUUGUACAUCAGUAAAGUUAAAUGCGACAUCCACAGCCUAAAUAUUGAAUUAAAUCUGCUCAUACUGAAAGAAAUAUACAUUUUAUUCCAUAUUUCUGACUUUUCUACGUUAAAUCUAAUUAUUUUAUACCACGUUUGAAGCACAGUGCACCAAGGAAUGAGUCAAUAUAAUGAAAAUGACUUAAAUAAGGAUGAAAUAAUGAAGUAUUUGUGCAACAAAUGACACUUAAUUCAAUAAAAGGAGAAUUGCAGUGAGUAAAGAGGCAAUGCUUAAAUCAAAAUCACAUGACAUCUUCCACUUUGUGCAUUUUUUCAGAGAUUUAUGGCAUAAACGUUUGAGGCCAUCCUUUUCCAUCAUUUCCGUCUUUCAUCCACGUUGCCUUUUCAGAUUUAGACAGAUUUGUCGAAGCAGAAACAUUACUCAUCUGGUUUUUAAUGUGUCAUCUUUGAAUCUCAAAUUAAACUUUUUGCUGCAGAAAUUCA